AUUCAACUAACGAGUCUCAAAUAGGAUGAAACACGAGUCCUGGAU
rnacentral:hammerhead_ribozyme from 1 species